UGAAAACUAAUUCGGAAAAUGUCAAACAAAAUUUUUAAGGUGAAAAACUGAAAAUUAUAUAAAGCAAACGAACGACUAGAUCUAGUUUGGAGUUGACUAAAAAUUAGACAUGGGAUAUCAAAACUUCCAAGCAAUAACGAAUGACUAACAAACGGAAGUCAAACUAUACAUGACAACGCAUUUAAUAAUAUAAAAGACUGGCUAGUAAACAAAUACGAGGAUAACAAAGUGUAAGCUAUUUUGAGUUUUGAAGAAGUUUGGAACAAAUAGCUUGAACACUAGUUUUGCCAUGACUGAUGAGAUAGUUUUGUAAAUCUUCAACAAGUUGCACUUGCUGAGUGGUCGUGAGGCUAUAAACUGCUGUAUCCAAUAAAUCAGCAACAGAUGUACUCUUUUCUGCAAUAAAUGAUUGGAAAUACAUAUAAACGAAGACUCCAUUUAAAAACUGGCAAUCCAUUCUGUCAGUUAAACCACCAUGCCCCGGGAUGGAAGCUCCAAAAUCCUUAAUUUUAAAAGCACGCUUAAGACCACUAGCAAAGAAUCCUCCGAAAGGGGCAAUUAAACUCGAAAAGGUAGCGAAGAUAGCCAAAUGGAAAUAUAUAGGAGCAAGAGUAAUUGUUUCAGGAAGUCUAAAGGUAUCGACAAAAACAGCUGGAAUAGUAUAAGUGUGAGGAAGAAAUACAGAAUUUGGAGUGCAAUUGAGACCACUGAAAGCAGAAGUAGAUAAGUCACGAGUGGGACAGAUAAAAUAUUUGAAGUGCAUUAAAACAUAGCUGAUAAGAGAACCAAUAACUACAGUACAAAUCCAUCCUCCUAAAAAACCUUCGACAGUCUUCUUGGGGGAAACUUGAAUAAGCGGAUGCUUGCCAAACAUCUUACCACACAAAUACGCGAAAACAUCGUUGCAUACAACGUAGCAAACAGGGACAAAGAACCAAAAUAAACCUUCAAACAGAUUGUUAAUCAUAAAAUGGGACUGUCCAACUACUAAGAGUAAAGUCAUAUGAGUCCAACAGAACUGACUGAACUGAAACUUAUAAUUGCCUUUUUUCAGGGAAG